UACGGAGGGUGCAAGCGUUGUCCGGAAUCACUGGGCGUAAAGGGCGCGUAGGCGGCUCAUGAAGGCUGUGGUGAAAGUCCGGGCUCAACCUCGGAUCGGCCGUGGCGACUCGUGGGCUGGAGCACUGUAGAGGCGGGUGGAAUUCCGGGUGUAGCGGUGGAAUGCGUAGAGAUCCGGAAGAACACCAGUGGCGAAGGCGGCCCGCUGGGCAGUGGCUGACGCUGAGGCGCGACAGCGUGGGAGCGGAACAGG
rnacentral:rRNA from 1 species